rnacentral:tRNA from 1 species
GUAGGCAUAGCUCAGUAGUAGAGCACAUGCUUAGCAUGCCCAAGGUCCUGGGUUCAAUCCCCAGUACCUUUA